rnacentral:rRNA from 1 species
GACGAACGCUGGCGGCGUGCUUAACACAUGCAAGUCUGGGGGCGGGGCGACCCGUCCCCGGCGAACGGGUUCGGAACACGUGAGCGACCUGCCCUGUGUGUGGGGGCUAGCCGGCCCAACGGCCGGGUAAUACCGCAUACGUCCCGCGCUUGGAGGCGCUGGGCGAAAGCCCGGAAGGGCGCACGAGGCGGGGCUCGCGGCCUUUCAGCUAGUUGGGGGGGUAACGGCCCAACAAGGCGGCGACGGCUAGCCGGGCUGAGAGGAUGGCCCGGAACAUUGGGACGGACAGACGGCCCAGACGCGGACGGGAGGCAGCAGUGGGGAAACUUGCGGAAUGCGCGAAAGCCUGACGCAGCGACGGCGCGGGGAGGAUGAGGCCCUUCGGGGUGUAAACUUCGGUUGCACGAGAAGAACGGCGGGCAUCGGCCCGCUUGACGGUACCGGGUGAGGAAGCACCGGCUAACUCCGUG